rnacentral:rRNA from 1 species
AAAAAAUUUUAAUGUGUUUGAUAACUAAAAGUUUCAUAAUUAAAGUCAAGGAUUAGUUAAGCUUUGAUCCUUUACUAAUAUCACAACUCCAGUAGUUAAGGUUGUUAAGUAAACGAAAGUUUGAGACAGAAGUAGAAAAGUAUAAAAUUAAUUUAAGUUUUUUAAAUUUUUAAUUAUAGUAGAGUUGUCUAUUACUGGUGCCAGCAGACGCGGGUAGACCAGAGACUCGGGUCUAUAAAAAUUUUGCAGUUAAAAGGGUGGUUAGGAUGUUUUAUUUUUAGUUUGUCCGGGUUAACUAUUUAGGUAAAAUUAAGUUUUGUGGCCGAAAUUUAGGUGACUAAAAUAUUUGAAGCCACGAAGACUAAGAUUGAAACCGGGAUUAGAUACCCCGUUAUUCUUAGUUUUAAACUUGGAUAAAAAGUUAAAAUAAAAAAAUUUUUUGUUCACUGGGCGACUACGAGUUAGAUUGGCUUAAAAGUUAAAGAAGUUGGCGGGACUAUAUAUUUUGUUAGGGGAACCUGGCGUUUAAUCUGAUGAUCCACAUAGGACCUUACUUUGUUUAGUGAUCAGGUAGUGUAUGGCCGUUGAAUCUAGACUGUGGAUCAACAUUGAUAAGGUGGAAGAAGUUGGUUUUUUAGUUUACAUAAAGUGUUUUGCUAGAAAUUCAGGUCGUUAUGCUUCUUAUGACAAAGGAUUAGCUGUGUUACAGUGCCUUUCUGGCUUGGUUCUAAUUGUUGUCUGAAAUGAGUGGGUGUAGAGCUUUAACAUGAGGGAGGACUUAACAGUAAAUACUUUCAGAGAGGGGUAUUGGAUAAGCAUUGUAGUUUGUACAAAUGGCCCGUCGCCUCCGGAGAAAUUUGGAGUAAGUCGUAACAAGGUAGCGGUGCGGGAACGGGUCGCUGGUUAAAG